rnacentral:rRNA from 1 species
UACGUAGGGGGCUAGCGUUGUCCGGAAUCAUUGGGCGUAAAGAGCGUGUAGGCGGCCCGGUAAGUCCGCUGUAAAAGUCAAAGGCUCAACCUUUGAAUGUCAGUGGAUACUGCCGGGCUAGAGUCCGGAAGAGGCGAGUGGAACUCCUGGUGUAGCGGUGAAAUGCGCAGAUAUCAGGAAGAACACCCGUGGCGAAGGCGGUUCUCUGGGACGGUACUGACGCUGGAGACGCGAAAGCGUGGGGAGCAAACAGG